GCAGUAGCCGCGGUAAUACAGAGGGUGCGAGCGUUAAUCGGAUUUACUGGGCGUAAAGCGUGCGUAGGCGGCUUUUUAAGUCGGAUGUGAAAUCCCUGAGCUUAACUUAGGAAUUGCAUUCGAUACUGGGAAGCUAGAGUAUGGGAGAGGAUGGUAGAAUUCCAGGUGUAGCGGUGAAAUGCGUAGAGAUCUGGAGGAAUACCGAUGGCGAAGGCAGCCAUCUGGCCUAAUACUGACGCUGAGGUACGAAAGCAUGGGGAGCAAACAGGAUUAGAUCCCCGUAGUCCCUGUCUCUUAUACAC
rnacentral:rRNA from 1 species